rnacentral:rRNA from 1 species
GACGAACGCUGGCGGCGUGCUUAACACAUGCAAGUCGAACGGAAAGACCCUGCUUUUGUGGGGUGCUCGAGUGGCGAACGGGUGAGUAACACGUGAGUAACCUUCCCUUGACUUUGGGAUAACUUCAGGAAACUGGGGCUAAUACCGGAUAGGAGCUCCUGCUGCAUGGUGGGGGUUGGAAAGUUUCGGCGGUUGGGGAUGGACUCGCGGCUUAUCAGCUUGUUGGUGGGGUAGUGGCUUACCAAGGCUUUGACGGGUAGCCGGCCUGAGAGGGUGACCGGCCACAUUGGGACUGAGAUACGGCCCAGACUCCUACGGGAGGCAGCAGUGGGGAAUAUUGCACAAUGGGCGGAAGCCUGAUGCAGCAACGCCGCGUGCGGGAUGACGGCCUUCGGGUUGUAAACCGCUUUCGCCUGUGACGAAGCGUGAGUGACGGUAAUGGGUAAAGAAGCACCGGCUAACUACGUG